rnacentral:tRNA from 3 species
GCGCUUGUAGCUCAAUUGGAUAGAGUGUCGCCCUCCGAAGGCGAAGGUUGUGGGUUCAAGUCCCGCCAAGCGCACCA